rnacentral:rRNA from 1 species
AGAGUUUGAUCCUGGCUCAGGAUGAACGCUGGCGGUAUGCCUAACACAUGCAAGUCGAACGAUGUCUUAGGACAUAGUGGCGGACGGGUGAGUAACGCGUGAGAAUCUGCCUCUAGGAUGGGGAUAACGGUUGGAAACGACCGCUAACACCCAAUAUGCCGUAAGGUGAAAAAUUUAUUGCCUGGAGAGGAGCUCGCGUCUGAUUAGCUAGUUGGUGGGGUAAGAGCUCACCAAGGCCUCGAUCAGUAGCUGGUCUGAGAGGAUGAGCAGCCACACUGGGACUGAGACACGGCCCAGACUCCUACGGGAGGCAGCAGUGGGGAAUUUUCCGCAAUGGGCGAAAGCCUGACGGAGCAAUACCGCGUGAGGGAGGAAUGCCUUUGGGUUGUAAACCUCUUUUCUCAGGGAAGAAGAUCUGACGGUACCUGAGGAAUAAGUAUCGGCUAACUCCGUGCCAGCAGCCGCGGUAAUACGGAGGAUGCAAGCGUUAUCCGGAAUCAUUGGGCGUAAAGCGUCCGCAGGUGGUUUCCAAAGUCUGCUGUUAAAGACUGGAGCUCAACUCCGGAACGGCGGUGGAAACUUGGAAACUAGAGUUCGGUAGGGGUAGCAGGAAUUCCCAGUGUAGCGGUGAAAUGCGUAGAUAUUGGGAAGAACAUCGGUGGCGAAGGCGUGCUACUGGACCGUAACUGACACUCAGGGACGAAAGCUAGGGGAGCGAAAGGGAUUAGAUACCCCUGUAGUCCUAGCUGUAAACGAUGGAAACUAGGUGUGGCUUGUAUCGACCCGAGCCGUGCCGUAGCUAACGCGUUAAGUUUCCCGCCUGGGGAGUAC